rnacentral:rRNA from 1 species
AUCGUUUUGGUUGGGGCGCGCCGGGCCCGGGCAGCAGUGCAACGCCCGGGCGACACAGAGGGCCCCAGUGGCAAGCCACUGUGGUGGACCCUCCCCACAAAAAAUAAAUUUAAUAUCGUUGUGAGCACAUGGCCCACAUAUCAGAUAUUAAACUGA